AGUGCUACAGUGUUGCAGGAAAGUGAAAAUAUCUUCAAGCGACAGUUGAAGUCGUCCAUGUACUGGUUGGUACUGAUUAAACAGCCAGCUAGAUAGUGCCAACAAGAUCAGAGAGUACUUGUUAGAUCGAGAGACCGACUUGUCUUCACAUAAAAUCAACUUUAAAAAGGACAGCCAGUAUAAUGUUUUAUUCAAAUGCAUGGACUAAGUGCUUGAUAUGCCUUAUCUUUUUAACAAGUGGAAAUGCCAAGUGUCCCAAACCUCAAGUAGAGGGAAAUGUUGUUCUCACGAAUGAUGCGCUAUUAAUGAACGAUUUUCCCGAGGGGGGGGAAGCCACUUUUGAGUGUGCCAACGGCUACUUGAAAGAGCAAGGAUCUGAAAGAAUCACCUGCACGAGUGGAGAGUGGAGCACGCUCAAAUUAACCUGCAAAAAGAAGGACUGUGGUGCCCCCAGGAAGAUGCCACAUUUGACAUAUGAGUUUAAGGAAGGCACGCUUUUUGGUGCAUCAGCAAGAGCAAUCUGUGAUAAAGGUUAUCAACUUCUGGGCCCAAGUUACAGGCAGUGUUAUGCCAUAGGUUGGAGUGGAAGACCAAGAUGUAAAGUGGUAACUUGUGAUAAACCUCCUGAGAUAAUGAAUGGCACGAUUAUAGAGAAGCCUGGCGAAGAGUUACCAGAGUAUGGUGGUGUCAUACAGUACUCCUGUAAUGAAGGUUACACCCUCAUUGGAAACAAAUCAAUUGAGUGCAUUGAAGAUGGUGAAUACAACUCAUUACCUCCUGAAUGUAAAGAUGUCAAUGACAUUCUUUUGAAACCAACAACUAUAUCAACAUCAUCAAUAACAACAACAUCGACUGUUCCACCCACAAUACAAGAUGUCAAUGACAUUCUUUUGAAACCAACAACAAUAUCAACAUCAUCAACAACAACAACAACAUCGACUGUUCCACCCACAAUACGAGGUAGCGGAAAAUCCAAAUGUCAAUGACAUUCUUUUGAAACCAACAACUAUAUCAACAUCAUCAAUAACAACAACAUCGACUGUUCCACCCAUUAUACGAGGUAGAGGAAAUCCAAGUCAAUCUAUCCCAGUAUAAUCAAGUGCUUGUUUAUUCAUUUAAUUUGAAAUUUGCCGUUUCAGGGAGGAAUAAUGGUGUUGGGGAACAUGACACCAAUGCAGCUACUGUUGUGGGAAGUGGGAUCGGCACUGUCAUAAUUUCACUUAUUGUUAUUGUGCUGAUCACACGGUGUUGUAAGAGGAAAGGCUCGUACCAGUUUGGAGAAGACCGAAGUCGAACAGAGGAAUUAUUACAAUUUCAAAAUAACUAAGUUGAAUGCCUACCCAAGGGCUAGGACUGCACCUAUCUGCUAGUCUGCAUCUGUAGCCUUGAAAAGUAGUGCCAGCGGAUUGUUCCUCUUUUAUUAAGUUGUUUCUGAAAGUCAGUUCAGCAGAAAUGUUUUAACCCAAUGUUUGAAAACCGGUAUUGAAAUAUAUUUUUUCUCUAUUUAUAUACAAUACUGAAAUAUACGUAAUUGUCUUUUCAACUGCCAUAUUUGACUACAGGUUGCUAGCUUGCUCUGUUGUGUGGGCAGAAGCCCCUGUAAUGAGAUUAGUGCACUAAACAAAAUGUAUGAUUGAGGAAAUUCCCAGGCUGAUAAUCACUGACCAUUUCUAAAUGUGUGCUUACUGAUCGUGGCUCACAGGAAAAUAACAGUAUGAGACAGUUUCCUGGACCCAGGUUAAGCCUACAGCACUGUAUUCCUUUUCAAGUAGGCUUAAUCUGGGUCCAGGAAACCAGCUCUUCAUGUUAUUUUCCUGCAGCCCCAAAUGUCACAAAAUAACGUCAAUCUUAUUUACUUAGAGGUUUUGUACUUAGAUUUUAUAGUGUGUAUUGUGUGAUUUAAGAGAUCAAAUAAUUUUCAUGAUAACAGCUUUUUCUCAUUCUUUGAGACACGUGUAAAUAUGUGUAACGAUUGUCGUCGGGAGAAAGAGAGGUUCAUAAUUGUAAUUAAAGAAAGCACUGAACACUGAA